AGCGAACGCUGGCGGCAGGCUUAACACAUGCAAGUCGAGCGGGCCCUUCGGGGUCAGCGGCAGACGGGUGAGUAACACGUGGGAACGUACCCUUUGGUUCGGAAUACCGCUGGGAAACUAGCGCUAAUACCGGAUACGUCCUUGUGGCGAAAGGUUUGCUGCCGAAGGAUCGGCCCGCGUCUGAUUAGCUAGUUGGUAGGGUAAUGGCCUACCAAGGCGACGAUCAGUAGCUGGUCUGAGAGGAUGAUCAGCCACACUGGGACUGAGACACGGCCCAGACUCCUACGGGAGGCAGCAGUGGGGAAUAUUGGACAAUGGGCGGAAGCCUGAUCCAGCCAUGCCGCGUGAGUGAUGAAGGCCUUAGGGUUGUAAAGCUCUUUUGUCCGGGACGAUAAUGACGGUACCGGAAGAAUAAGCCCCGGCUAACUUCGUG
rnacentral:rRNA from 1 species